CCUUCUAACGUAAUUUUGUAUAAGAAACCAGUGCUCCUUGGGAACCGUAAUAUUAGCCCAACUAUCGACUGCUUUGGCCUGACACCUGCUGGCACUUUUGGUGCCGCUGAAACCAAAACGGAAAACACAAAGACUGAUGGGAGAAUUCGGUCCAUUUCUCGCACUUAUGUUAACUACUGUUGUUUAGCAAGAAAACUGAAUGAUAGUGAAGACAUCGUGUUACUUAUCUAUGUUUUUAAACUGGGUUUAAAUUUAGGUGUAAGUCUGUUUAAUGUCUUGCAGUACGGUGACUACAUUACUACUGGUGCCAGCAUGGCUCUUGUUGCGUUUACAUUGCAUAACAUUAUUGUUGCUGUUACGACGGGAACUCAGCUAAUGCUUUUUGUUGAACCAUCGUACAGAGCUCAAGUCGAGUUAAGAAAGACGACAUUACUAGUCAGCAGGGCACUAAACGAAGCUCUGGAAAGGAACGAUUUAGAUCAGCUAAAUGAGCUCCGACAUCUUUUGAAAAUGCUACAUCUCAACCGGCCGGUCUACUCCGCUUUUGGAGUCUUCAAUAUAGGAAGACCACUCGUCACGGCUGUACUGAGUGGUACAGCUACUAUAUUGGUUAUGUUACAGUAACAUGUCUAGUUACUUUCCGCUUUUUUAGCAUUAUAAUAGACGUGAUAUUGAAAUAAGUUUUAUGCACAAAUACGCCACAGCUAAAAUAUUUGAACCGCACCUCUCGACAUUGAACAAUGACAAAUGCACGUGAAUAAAUAAAUAAAAUUA